ACGGCCUCUACGUGGACUGCCUGCACAGAAGAAGAGGAGGAUACCACUCAUAGCUUUGGGCAGGGUUUUAACACGUAAGACAGCCUCUUCGUGGACUGCCUGUACAGAAGAAGAGGAGGAUACCACUCAUAGCUUUGGGCAGGGAUUUAACACGUAAGACAGCCUCUACGUGGACUGCCUGUACAGAAGAAGAGGAGGAUACCACUCAUAGCUUUGGGCAGGGAUUCAAC